UCCGGUUCAGACGGUGUUUUUUACUGUGCGCUGGAGUACGCAUUAAAGUUUUGUAACGGACCAACAUCGGGAGUGAUUAUUGGCUCGUCGCAUCACACGAGAGUGCUACAAAAAGUUAAAACACAGAGACGCGGUGAAGUUUAGGACCGGCUGUGUCGGAAGGAUACAGAUGGAAAAAAAAAUGUUGCCUCGGAGUGACGUCAUCGAUGUCCGAACGUGAACUACUUCUCCUUUUUUGUUUGUUUGUUGUUGUUGUGGCACUAUUCUGUCCGAGCUGUCAAACGUCACUAAAAUGUGACACAGUCCGUUACUAGUUUUACGUUAAACCUUGGAUUUGAUCAAAUCAGUGUUAAAAGUCGGUUAUAGAUGUUUCAACAGCGUCUUACAAUGCGUGUUAUACCAGCCUGAGUGUGGGAUCAGGAGUUAAGAACACGGACAUGUCUGCUGUGACUGCGUGGGCUGUUCCACUCAACUGUCUGUCGGACUCUUCGUGUUUGUCUCUGCAGGUGAGAUUUAACCGCUACAAACCAAACCGUUAUCUCUGAGAUGGAGAGGAGUGAGGAGGAUCGGCCUGGAUCACAUACCAGAAAAUCAUCACAGCUGAGUCUGGACAGGACGUCACUCUGACAUGUCGAGCUCCAAACAACAACAUCAGACUCGUUGAGUGGAGCAGAGCUGACCUGGUAGAUGAAUAUGUGCUCUUGUACCGGGAUAGAUACUUUCUUCCAGACAACCAGCAUCCAUCUUUUAAGAACCGGGUGGAUCUGUGGGACAGACGGAUGAAGGAUGGAGACGUGUCUUUGAUUCUGAAGGAUGUGAGGGCUGCUGAUAGUGGAACAUAUGAGUGUCGUGUCAUCAUGAGACGAACACAUGAAGACAUCACAAGCAUCAUCCACCUUAAUGUUGUUCCUCCAGGUCAGACAGGAUGGCACAGAAAGGAUGGAUUAUAUGAACUGACAUGUGGACUGGGAGUUGCUCUGUCACUUUGUCUUGUGAUUGCUGUUGUUGGGUUUUGCACAUACAAAUGUCGACUGUCCCGAAACACUACUCCACCUCGUCAGACUCCACAGCAGAACUAUGAGUCGGAGGAUCUGAGGACAGGCUGUAGACGUCAAACAUCCAGAGUUUGAUUAUCUUUGUCAUUUCUCUGAUUAUCAUCAUGUUUAGACUCAGACCAACAGUGUGUGUAUGUGCUGUUGUUCCUGGGAUUUACUGACACAAACUGUUACAAACAUGUAUGAAGUCAUGUGCAAUAAUCUCUGAAUCUGUGAGUGCUUUUGUAUUUUUACCUUCAGGAUCAGCAGCUGCCUGUAAACUCGCCAUAUUCUGUGAGGCGUGAACCACACAAACUAGGAUUUCUAUGAAACUAAAGAUUCAUGUACAUGCAAACUCAGAUAUUUCUUUCCUGAUCUGAGCUACAAGGUUAUCCACAUAUUUUUUAAUUAUUUAACUUUUCAUGAUGAGACACUAACAUGUGCGAAUAAUGUAAAGUUCUUAUUCGUAUGCAGCUUUCUUCAACUGUUUUUAAUGUUAAUAAAGAUUUACAUCUAAACCUA